CAGAAUGUAGCUUAAUCAAAGCCCCUCGCUUACACCGAGCCCAUGCCCGAUGACCACGGGUCAUUCUGA
rnacentral:tRNA from 1 species